rnacentral:tRNA from 1 species
GCCUGGCUGGCUCAGUCAGAAGAGCAUGUGACUCUUGAUUUCAGGGAUGUGAGUUCAAGCCCCACACUGGGUG